rnacentral:rRNA from 1 species
UGCCAGCAGCCGCGGUAAGACGGAGGGGGCUAGCGUUGUUCGGAAUUACUGGGCGUAAAGCGCGCGUAGGCGGUUAUUCAAGUUGAGGGUGAAAUCCCAGGGCUCAACCCUGGAACGGCCUUCAAAACUGGAUUGACUUGAGAUCGGGAGAGGAGAGUGGAAUUCCCAGUGUAGAGGUGAAAUUCGUAGAUAUUGGGAAGAACACCAGUGGCGAAGGCGGCUCUCUGGCCCGGAUCUGACGCUGAGGUGCGAAAGCGUGGGGAGCAAACAGGAUUAGAUA